ACGUCGCACUCGUACACGCCGGUUUCUCCCCCACCGUCCGUGCCCACCUGACAACCGCUCGCCACGUUUUGUUGACC
rnacentral:sRNA from 1 species